UUAUUUUUAUUACAUUGGUUUACUAGAUAAAGAUAAUUGUAACUGGAGAAUCAGAACAUUCUAUGAAUUCUAUUUGCAAAUAUUUUUAACAUGAGUUGUUUUUGUUUGGUUUUAUUUUGUUUUCUUUUGCUGUAAAAUAAUUGAGACUUCUCUGAGACUUAACACCUUUAUGGGGUAAUUCAUUAUCUCCAGGCUUAGGGGUUGCUUUGUACCAGGGCCCUUCCUCUACCUAAUAAAGAGAUAGUAGAGAUCUCAAAAGAAGUUAAUUCCCUGAGUCACCAAAAGUAACAAUGAGCAUCAGAACAGGACUUUUUCUAGUACUGAUAUUGGACAAAGAACACUUUUAAGAAAAUACUGCCACUAUCUAAUUCCAAUUUUAUAUGUCUUUCCACUGCUUCUGUAACUUUUAUUCUCUAGAAUUGUGGUGCUCCAUGAUUCCUCCCUCAGUGAAUAUUGCUAUUAAAGAAUCAUUCUCUCCAUAAUACCGAGAAAUAAAGUGGAACAAGUAGUACUGGGUCUUAACUUUUAAACAAUGUUCCUUCCUGUGACUACAAAACAUCUAAAUCUCUUAUGUUCUUUUCUCCUGACUCAGCUUCAGUUGUCCUCCUGAUGGCGUCAUACUUCUCCCCACGUCUCAUUCUCCGCACCCCUUCGAGACCCCUGAAUGCUUGUCAGUAUCACCUAACAAAAUGAGAUAAUGAAGGUCAUUUUACAGAUGAAGAAAUUAAGACAAAGUGGAUUAAGUGAUUUGCUCAAGGUCACGCAGCCAGUAUGUGUCUGAAGUCAGAUUUGGACAUCGGAAAUGAGUCUUCCUGACUCCAAACCUGGCACCCUACUACAUCACCUACCUGCCCAAGGGACUAUUACAAUAGUCCAAGAAAAAGGCAAUGUGACCUUGAUCUAGGCCUAAGGGUAGUGUAAGUAGAGAGAAGGAUGUGAGAUAUGUCAUGGCCAUACAAUCCACAAUACUUUAAAACUGAAUAGAUAUUAGGGAAGGAGGGCCAUGCGGAAGCAAGAGGUCAAGGAUAACUCUAAAUUUGCAAACCUGGAUAAGCAGUAGUAGUAGAGUGAGACUAGAAGGGUUAUCUUGGUAAAUGUUUCUCUGACAUUAAAAAAAAAAAUGUUCCCAGCAGACUUUUAAGUCUGAUCUACAUUAUUUACAUUUUCUCCAGUACUAUCUUAAAACUAAACUAGCAUUGGCCAGUUUUUUCAGGAAAGAGCCAAAGAGUAAAUAUUUCAGGUUUUGCAGGGCAAGAAACAAAAUCAAUAAUAUUGAUAAGGUUCUUAUAUGACAAAAGUGAAACAAAUUUCCGCAAAGUAUUUUACUAACAAAAUUCAAAAUAUAAUAAUUACAUUGUCUUGUAAUACAGGUCUACUCAUGAGAAAAAUGGAAUUCUUCAAUUAAAAAAAAAUACCCUGGAUCCCAACCUGUUUGUGAAAUGAAAGUGAAGUAUGAAACAGAAUUGAGUUACGUUCAGAAGGCAAAAUUAAAUUGUAGUUUCAUAAUCUGGUACAAUGUAACAAGAAAAUGUAAAAUGUUUCCAGAAAAAUCCCAGAUCAAAUCUUGGUUCUGCUACGUACUAACUUUGGGACUCAGGGUAGAUCACCUGUCCUUCCCAAAACUCUGUUUCUUCAUCUGUAAAAUAAUAAUAAUAAUAACUGACAUAUUACACCAUAAAGUUUUCAAAUUGGCAAGAGAUAGAAAACAUUACAAAAUGUAAAAUGAAUAAUUUUGAUUAUAUUAAAUUAAAAAGGGUUUGUACAAACAAAACAAAUGCAACCAAAAUUAGAAAGGAAGCAACAAACUAGGAAAAAAAUUAAUAACAAAAAUCUCUGACAAAGGCCUAAUUUCCCAAAUUUAUAAAGAACUAAGUCAAAUGUACAAGAAAUCAAGCCAUUCCCCAAUUGAUAAAUGGACAAGGGAUAUGAAUUGGCAGUUCUCAGAUGAAGAAAUCAAAACUAUCAAUAAGCACAUGAAAAAGUGUUCUAAAUUCCUCCUGAUUAAAGAAAUGCAAAUAAAAACAACUCUGAAGUACCACCUCAUACCUAGCAGAGUGGCCGAUAUGACAGUAAAGGAAAAUAAUAACUGUUGGAGGGGAUGUGGCAAAAUUGGGACACUAAUGCAUUGCUGGUGGAGUUGUGAAUUGAUUCAACCAUUCUGGAAGGCAAUUUGGAACUAUGCCCAAAGGGCUUUAAAAGUAUGCAUGCCCUUUGACCUAACAAUAUCACCACUAAAUUUGUACCCCCAAAGAGAUAAUUUAAAAGAGUUGUACAAAAAUAUUCACGGUCACACUCUUUGUGGUGGCAAACAAUUGGAAAUUGAGGGGUUUCCCUCCAUUGGGAAAUGGCUAAACAAAUUGUGGUAUACAAUGGUGAUGGAAUACUAUUGUUCUAUAAGGAAUGAUGAACUGCUUUGUUUCUAUAUGACCUGGAAAGGCCUCCAUGAACUGAUGUGAAGUCAAAUGAGCAGAAGCAUGAGACUAUUGUACAUAGAAAGUGAAACAUUGUGGAAUGAUCAAAUGUAAUUGAUGAUCCAGGAUAAUCCCAAGGGAUUUAAGAGAAAGAAUGCUGUCCACAUCAAGAGACAAAACUCUAUGAAUAGAAAUGCAGAAGAAAAACAUAUGCUUUAUCACUUGUUUAUGUGGGUAUAUGAUUUGGGGUUUUGGUUUUUAAAAGAUUACUCUAUUAAAAAAUGAAUAAUAUGGAAAUAGGUAUCAAGUGAUAACAUAUGUAUAACCCAGUGGAAUUGCUUGUCAGCUCUAGGAGGGGAAGGGAAAAGGGGAGGGAGAGACAAUGAAUCAUGUAA